rnacentral:tRNA from 2 species
UAGAGCAGUUUGGUAGCUCACGAGGCUCAUAACCUUGAGGUCACGGGUUCGAUUCCCGUCUCCGCAC